rnacentral:rRNA from 1 species
UACGAAGGGGGCUAGCGUUGCUCGGAAUUACUGGGCGUAAAGCGCACGUAGGCGGCUCUUUAAGUCGGGGGUGAAAUCCUGGAGCUCAACUCCAGAACUGCCUUCGAUACUGUAGAGCUUGAGUUCGGGAGAGGUGAGUGGAACUGCGAGUGUAGAGGUGAAAUUCGUAGAUAUUCGCAAGAACACCAGUGGCGAAGGCGGCUUACUGGUCCGGUUCUGACGCUGAGGCGCGAAAGCGUGGGGAGCAAACAGG